CUAAGGGACUUCUACACUGCUUCUUGGCUUUGGUGCAGUUACCGUCAGAGGAUUGCCCUUCCUCAACUACAUAGUUACCUUUCAUCACUAUUUAUAGAUUCAGUCAUCUAAUUCCACUGACCAGGGCCUAAUGGUUGCACUGACUUAAAACCUCUC
rnacentral:lncRNA from 1 species